UGGGGGAUAUUGCACAAUGGGCGAAAGCCUGAUGCAGCGACGCCGCGUGGGGGAUGAAGGCUUUCGGGUUGUAAACCUCUUUCGCUAUCGAACAAGGCCCGCUUAGGGUGGGUUGAGGGUAGGUGGAGAAGAAGCGCCGGCUAACUACGUGCCAGCAGCCGCGGUAAUACGUAGGGCGCGAGCGUUGUCCGGAAUUCUUGGGCGUAAAGGGCUUGUAGGCGGCUUGUUGCGCCUGGUGUGAAAACGCGGGGCUUAACUUCGCGCGUGGAGUGGGUACGGGCAGGCUUGAAGGUGGUAGGGGUGACUGGAAUUCCAGGUGUAGCGGUGGAAUGCGCAGAUAUCUGGAGGAACACCGAUGGCGAAGGCAGGUCACUGGGCCAUUACUGACGCUGAGGAGCGAAAGCAUGGGUAGCGAACAGG
rnacentral:rRNA from 1 species